AUGCCCCUCUUAAUCGGGCGGGACUGCCCGAUCUUCGCCCAACUGCUAGGGGCCGAGCUUCAGGCACCCCGGCGCCGACCCCCUCGGACCCGACCCCGCCGGCUGCGUAGCCGGCCCGCCUAUAUGGCCUCCCACCCGGCGCCUUCCCAGUCCGACUCGGACGAGUCCCCCGACAGGGCCCCGAGAGAGGCGGCACGACAUGCCCACGCCUCGUCCACAGUGUCCCUUCCCCCGGGGACCCCAGACACGAUGACUGCCUCCGAGCAGGCCCCUCCGCCAGACGAGGAGGAGUCUCCACCCCUCAUAGACUUCACCGACUACCCCCUGGCCGACGGGGGAGGACCCGACAAGGAAGGACAGUUCGCCACCGCCCAGCUGGAGGACGACGCCCUCCGCCACGCCUGGGGACACGUCCAGGUCCAUGAGGGCCUCUCGCAGGACUCGGUGAGUGACAGGCGGUACCCACACUUCAGCACAAGGGGGGGGUUACUAUACCGGGUGGUACAGAGAGGGGGUAAGGAGGUAGAACAGUUGCUCGUUCCAAGGCCGUACGUAAGCAAGGUCCUCUACAUGGCCCACACGCACCUAUUGGGGGCUCACCUGGGGGUGGACAAGACGAGGGACAGAAUCCUGAACCGUUUUUUCUGGCCGGGGGUAAAACGGAACGUAGAGGACUACUGCCGGGCGUGCCCCAAGUGCCAACACACCGCCCCGAGACCCAAUGUCCGGAACCCCCUCAUACCGAUGCCGCUGAUAGAGGUCCCGUUCGACCGGCUGGGGCUAGACAUCAUAGGUCCCCUCCCCAAGACUAGUCGAGGUCACCGCUAUGUCCUAGUUAUGGUGGAUUACGCCACACACUACCCAGAGGCAGUUCCUCUACGGGCAGAGGAGGUCGACGAGGCGUUCUCGUGCCUCCGACGGGCCCUCUGCACCGAGCCCCUCCUGAUCACCCCGGACUUCAACCUCCCCUUCAUCGUCCACACCAACGCGUCCGAGGUGGGCCUGGGAGCGGUCUUAUCCCAGGUCCGGUCGGGCGAGGAGCACCCGGUGACUUACAUCAGCCGGAAACUCCUGGCCAGCGAGAAAGCCUACCGUGGAGAAGCUCCGCUACUACCUCCUCAGACGCACCUUCACCCUGGUCACAGACCACGCCCCCCUGAAGUGGAUGGCCACGGCCAAGGAUACCAACGCCCGGGUGACGCGCUGGUUCCUGGCCCUGCAGGAUUACCACUUCCAGGUGGUCCACCGGCCCGGACGCGCACAUGCCAACGCAGACGCACUGUCCCGGAGGGACGCCUGCCUAGGCCUAUGCCGGGCGGACCCCGACUUGCAGCUGAGGGGGGGGGUGUGUGGCAACCCCGAUCCAACGGAGGAGUUCGAUCCCCGCCAGCGCCCUCUCCGCGGGCAGGUAGUCAGGGGGAGAUAUGUGCCGCUCGGCGCAGCGAUGCGGGAGCGCGCAUCGAGCGCACCCGCGCAAUCACAGAGAUGCGGAGCACCCGGCGGAGCAAGACGGCGGAGAGUACUAAACGACCGCGUGGACACCAGUCGGGGGAACGCGACCGAGUGGGAAAGACGCAGUAG
ensembl:lncRNA